GAUGAAGAACGUAGCGAAAUGCGAUAACUAAUGUGAAUUGCAGAAUUCAGUGAAUCAUCGAAUCUUUGAACGCACAUUGCGCCCCCUGGUAUUCCGGGGGGCAUGCCUGUCCGAGCGUCAUUACAACCCUCAAGCUCAGCUUGGUAUUGGGCCCCGCCGACCCGGCGGGCCCUAAAGUCAGUGGCGGUGCCGUCCGGCUCCGAGCGUAGUAAUUCUUCUCGCUCUGGAGGUCCGGUCGUGUGCUCGCCAGCAACCCCCAAUUUUUUUCAGGUUGACCUCGGAUCAGGUAGGGAUACCCGCUGAACUUAAGCAUAUCAAUAAGCGGAGGA
rnacentral:misc_RNA from 1 species